rnacentral:rRNA from 1 species
UACGUAGGGUGCAAGCGUUAUCCGGAAUUAUUGGGCGUAAAGAGCUCGUAGGCGGUUUGUCGCGUCUGCUGUGAAAACUGGAGGCUCAACCUCCAGCCUGCAGUGGGUACGGGCAGACUAGAGUGCGGUAGGGGAGAUUGGAAUUCCUGGUGUAGCGGUGGAAUGCGCAGAUAUCAGGAGGAACACCGAUGGCGAAGGCAGAUCUCUGGGCCGUAACUGACACUGAGAAGCGAAAGCAUGGGGAGCGAACAGG